UACGGUAGGGUGCGAGCGUUGUCCGGAAUUAUUGGGCGUAAAGAGCUUGUAGGCGGUUUGUCGCGUCUGCCGUGAAAAUCCGGGGCUCAACCCCGGACUUGCGGUGGGUACGGGCAGACUAGAGUGUGGUAGGGGAGACUGGAAUUCCUGGUGUAGCGGUGAAAUGCGCAGAUAUCGGGAGGAACACCGGUGGCGAAGGCGGUUCUCUGGGCCUUACCUGACGCUGAGGAGCGAAAGCGUGGGGAGCGAACAGG
rnacentral:rRNA from 1 species